UCUGGUCUUGGGACACUGUCAGGUGGGCAGUUUGACUGGGGCGGUCGCCUCCCAAAAGGUAACGGAGGCGCUCAAAGGUUCUCUCAGUACGGUCGGAAAUCGUACGUAGAGUGUAAAGGCAAAAGAGGGCUUGAUUGCAAGACAUACAGGGCGAGCAAGGAUGAAAAUCGGACUUAGUGAUCCGGUGGUUCGGCGUGGAAGGGCCAUCGCUCAACGGAUAAAAGCUACCCUGGGGAUAACAGGCUUAUCUCCCCCAAGAGUCCACAUCGACGGGGAGGUUUGGCACCUCGAUGUCGGCUCAUCACAUCCUGGGGCUGUAGUAGGUCCCAAGGGUUGGGCUGUUCGC
rnacentral:rRNA from 1 species